UUUUAUAUUUCUGUAAUAUAUUUUUAUAACAAAUUAUCUAUGAAAGACCCCCAGAGUGGGGAGACCCUCACUCAAGUCUCGGGAUGACACAACCCGCCAAGAACUCACACAAGACC
rnacentral:pre_miRNA from 14 species